rnacentral:rRNA from 1 species
CUGGCUCAGGAUGAACGCUAGCGGCAGGCUUAACACAUGCAAGUCGAGGGGCAGCGAGGGUAGCAAUACCUGUCGGCGACCGGCGGAAGGGUGCGUAACGCGUGAGCAACUUGCCCGUAUCAGGGGGAUAGUCAUUGGAAACGAUGCGUAAUACCCCAUAACAACAGAGGCUGCAUGACCUUUGUUUGAAAGAUUCGUCGGAUACGGAUAGGCUCGCGAGACAUUAGCUAGUUGGCGGGGUAACGGCCCACCAAGGCGACGAUGUCUAGGGGUUCUGAGAGGAAGGUCCCCCACAUUGGAACUGAGACACGGUCCAAACUCCUACGGGAGGCAGCAGUGAGGAAUAUUGGUCAAUGGCCGGAAGGCUGAACCAGCCAUGCCGCGUGCAGGAAUUAAAGGCCCUAUGGGUCGUAAACUGCUUUUGUGGUGGAGCAAUAAGACGUACGUGUACGUCGAUGAGAGUACAUCACGAAUAAGCAUCGGCUAACUCCGUGCCAGCAGCCGC